rnacentral:lncRNA from 10 species
AAGACUCUCACAGCCCGGGGCUGGCGGCGCCAGCCCGCCGCUUCGAGUGCGGAUCCUGCCCAGCCCGCACCCACCCGGAACUCGCGCUGGCGCGCGAGCGCGGCGCGCAGCUUGGGUUCCUGCCGGCGCCUCUCCCUCCACACCUCACCUCAAACAGAGGGAGCCGGCUCCGGUCUCGGCCAGCCCAGAGAGGGCCUCCCAUAGUGCAGCGGCGGGCUGAAGGUCUCCUCAAGCGCUGCCAGAGUGGGCGUCGAGGCUGAGGAGACACCGAGAGCGAGUGAGGGCUGCAAGCAUGCUGUCACCUCUCAGUAAUUUGAGAAAAUUUCUGUUUUCUAUGGGAGAGGCAUCAUGUGAGGAAGCUGUUAUUGGCUUGAAUUUCUGCCUCUUGUAUUCCUCAAAGCAAAUGAGCAGUGAAGUAGACAAGAGACCAUAAUUCCCAUAGUCAAGGUUGGGAGCAGCAAGUACUGCAGCCCAUUUGAGGUAUGAUAAUCAGCUGAUUAGCUAGUGGAGUCGUUUUCCCUGAGGCUCUUUUGUGUGCAAAAUCCUCACACUCAAUUGACAUGUGGACAUCAUAAAGCUGAUGAAAUGCAAUUGUAAUGAACAAGAGGGAGCGGCAUCUGCAGCCGUCUAAAUGAAGGACCCUUUCCUCUCGCCAUGCUAAUUCAGAAAAUCUGCUCUUAACGUGUACUCCCCCUGGAUUCCAAAUUGAGGCACAUCUCCAUGAAUGCAUAUUCAAGGAGUGAAUUAGCCUCUGUGGCAAGUGAGCGCCUAGCCUGGCCAGACUGAUUCUAAUUUCAAGACAGAUUAUACUGCAUCAACCAUAGUAAUGAUCUGACAGUUCAUUUGUGAUGAGAGUCCUACAGUCAGCUUUACUGCUCGGACAGACAGGUGCACAGAGAGAGCCAGCAAGACCUCUCAGAAAACACCAAAGGCUGCUGUCAAAUGAUUUCAGCCCAAAUAGCCAGAUGAUAAUCUGUAUCUCUGGCCUCCUUGUCUGACUGA